UACGAAGGGGGCUAGCGUUGCUCGGAAUCACUGGGCGUAAAGCGCACGUAGGCGGAUUUUUAAGUCAGGGGUGAAAUCCUGGAGCUCAACUCCAGAACUGCCUUUGAUACUGGCGAUCUUGAGUCCGGGAGAGGUGAGUGGAACUGCGAGUGUAGAGGUGAAAUUCGUAGAUAUUCGCAAGAACACCAGUGACGAAGGCGGCUCACUGGCCCGGUACUGACGCUGAGGCGCGAAAGCUAGGGUAGCAAACGGG
rnacentral:rRNA from 1 species